AAAAAGUUCGAUCUUGGUCUCAUCUAUCCACACAACAUUGUUCCAAUCACCUUCUGGCUUAUCCACGUGGUCUCAAGUGAACCAUAGAUCAAUGAACCAAUAUAUAUGCUUUUGCAGACAUAUUUUACAAAAUGUUGACGAUUAGGAGGAAACAAUGACAUCGCUGGAGUCUGUUCAUUGCUCAUCAACAUUUUUACAGCACAUGCUAUUUCCUUUACAUUCCUUUUAUUUGCAUUUUCCCUAUGAUUCCCUAAUAUUGCUAAUAACAUGUCUUUAAAAGUUUGCUACAAGGUAAUUAAAAUCUUGUUAGGUGUAGUCUAUUCUACAAAAGCUUACUUCUAUGUUUGACAGUCUUAAAAACAUGUGUUUUGUUCAUAACUUGGCAUUUCACUUAGAGUAAUGGUAAAAUAUUUUUAUUCAAUUUGCUGAAGAACACGAAGAAGCAGUGGAGGAUCAAAGUAAAAUCACCUAGCUCCUAACCUGCAAACAUCCAAAGCCUUUUAGCCCAGCGGACUUGUGAUGCGAAGUGGAAUGAGCAGACGUUCUUGGGCUGCUUCUCAGACAUGUUUCUCCCAGGGUUCACGCUCAAUGGUCGCCAUGGUAGUGUGAAGCUGUACUUGCGUCAGCACACCUCGUGGAAGAGGGGGGUGAAGUGAGCAACAGCGCAUCAUCAUCAGCGCAUCAGCCCAAUUUUGACACAAUUUUGUCAUUGCCGAAAAAUUUCCAGCAUCACGCCCGAUUGUGAACAUCGGGCGCCUGUGGAGGAGGCAGAGAUGUGCUGCUGUUCUCAGACAGCUUUUACUGUUUGUGUUGGUAUUUAUAAAUGUGCACCAGAGAGCACUUCAGUUAUAGUGAUUGUGAAACCACCUGAUAUUAAAACAUAUCUUUGUAUUUUCAUUUACCAGAGUAUACAAAUCCCAAAAUCCAAUCAUUUUUUCCACCACGAGACCUUCUGUUUACAUACAGCGAACCUGGUAGCUAGCUACAUUUAUGUAAUGUUCUUGACAUGUUAACACAUUCCUUUGAAGGAUAGACAGCCCGUACUGUCCUCUUUGUGACACCCUGGAACGGGUAUACAAUAAUUUUUUCUUUCUUUUCUCUUUCUUUUCAGUACACAAGACCGCCAGAAUCACACAAAGUGCUUCUGUAGCUACUCCCGAAAGACCUAUGAACUUGCGCAAGAUCAUGAACGAUGAUUGGUCGGGGUCAUACUUGUAGUGUUGCCAGUCUCCUGACCAAGACAUGGCAAGAAUUUAUGGCACUACGAUUGCCUAAUCUGACAUUGUGACCACUGUGAAAAACAAAAAUAUGUAGUCUGACCCUGGCAUAAAACAGGGCUUCAAGAUUACAGGAGCAAGUAAGACUGUCAUGAACUAAUGAGCUUUAAUCUGGUUUGUGUGGCUAACUCUUUUGUACAGGCAUCAUAUCUCUGACUAAAGAGAAUUAACAAAGACUUCUUCCUCUCAUGCUGUCCUUUGUCAAAACUGGCUUCUCUGAAGUUCAAUGAAAGCUCUCUCUAUUCUCAGUAUCGCUCAUUGGGGAAUAUCUUCUAUUGUACAAUGAUUCAAGUAUUUCAUUUUCAUGUCUGUCAUGUGCACUGUCACACAGCUAAGUAAUCAGUCCCACUAAUCUGUAUGUCAUCCAAUUCUUACAAAUCUGUGGCACUUUUGUCUCUUCAUUUGUCCUCUACAGAGUUCAAAUGUAAUCCUCAAGAACUUGACAAAUUAUUUUCCCUAGAAAACCCUCAGUUCCAUUCUCUGUGAGGCUGAUUCAGCAGUCAGACAUCAGUGAGCUGACUCAUAUUAGCCUGCUUUAGCAGACUGUCAUCUCUGUGGUGCACCGCCCAGGAGAAUGAGUGUCACCCCCUUUUAACAGUGAGCAGGUGAAAAUAGCACCUCGGGGUCUAGAUGACCCAUCUCACUGCUUAUAUUCUCUGACAAGCAGGUCCUCUGCCACAUCCAGCCAUCAUCGUCACAGACAGCACAUCCUACUGCAGAGCUAGUUCAAAACCAAGACCAGCCACCCCAGAUGGAUAUGACAGUUUUGGUUGGUUAAGUCAAUUUGGGGAUAUUAAAGUAGUUUGCUUAUGUAUACUGUAAGUGUCCCGUUGUUAAGC